rnacentral:rRNA from 1 species
AUUGAACGCUGGCGGCAGGCCUAACACAUGCAAGUCGAACGAGUGGCGGACGGGUGAGUAAUGUCUGGGAAACUGCCUGAUGGUGGGGGAUCACUACUGGAAACGGUAGCUAAUACCGCAUACCAUCGGAUGUGCCCAGAUGGGAUGAGCUAGUAGGUGGGGUAACGGCUCACCUAGGCGACGAUCCCUAGCUGGGCUGAGAGGAGGACCAGCAACACUGGAACUGAGACAAGGUCCAGACGCCUACGGGAGGCAGCAGUGGGGAAUAUUGCACAAUGGGCGCAAGCCUGAUGCAGCCAUGCCGCGUGUAUGAAGAAGGCCUUCGGGUUGUAAAGUACUUUCAGCGGGGAGGCGUUAACCGAAGAAGAAGCACCGGCUAACUCCGUGCCAGAAGCCGCGGUAAUUC